rnacentral:rRNA from 1 species
GGGUUGUGAGGUUAAGCGACUAAGCGUACACGGUGGAUGCCCUGGCAGUCAGAGGCGAUGAAGGACGUGCUAAUCUGCGAAAAGCGCCGGCGAGGUGAUAUGAACCUUUGACCCGGCGAUGUCCGAAUGGGGAAACCCAGUGCAAUCCGUUGCACUAUCGUUAACUGAAUACAUAGGUUAACGAGGCGAACCGGGGGAACUGAAACAUCUAAGUACCCCGAGGAAAAGAAAUCAACCGAGAUUCCCCCAGUAGCGGCGAGCGAACGGGGAGCAGCCCGGAGUCUGAAUCAGCUUGUGUGUUAGUGGAACGGUCUGGAAAGUCCGACGGUACAGGGUGAUAGUCCCGUACACGAAAAUGCACAUGCUGUGAACUCGAAGAGUAGGGCGGGACACGUGGUAUCCUGUCUGAAUAUGGGGACCAUCCUCCAAGGCUAAAUACUCCUGACUGACCGAUAGUGAACCAGUACCGUGAGGAAAGGCGAAAAGAACCCCGGCGAGGGGAGUGAAAAAGAACCUGAAACCGUGUACGUACAAGCAGUGGGAGCCUCUUUAUGGGGUGACUGCGUACCUUUUGUAUAAUGGGUCAGCGACUUAUAUUCUGUAGCAAGGUUAACCGUAUAGGGGAGCCGAAGGGAAACCGAGUCUUAACUGGGCGUUAAGUUGCAGGGUAUAGACCCGAAACCCGGUGAUCUAGCCAUGGGCAGGUUGAAGGUUGGGUAACACUAACUGGAGGACCGAACCGACUAAUGUUGAAAAAUUAGCGGAUGACCUGUGGCUGGGGGUGAAAGGCCAAUCAAACCGGGAGAUAGCUGGUUCUCCCCGAAAGCUAUUUAGGUAGCGCCUCGUGAACUCAUCUUCGGGGGUAGAGCACUGUUUCGGCUAGGGGGCCAUCCCGGCUUACCAACCCGAUGCAAACUACGAAUACCGAAGAAUGUUAUCACGGGAGACACACGGCGGGUGCUAACGUCCGUCGUGAAGAGGGAAACAACCCAGACCGCCAGCUAAGGUCCCAAAGUCAUGGUUAAGUGGGAAACGAUGUGGGAAGGCACAGACAGCCGAUGUUGGCUUAGAAGCAGCCAUCAUUUAAAGAAAGCGUAAUAGCUCACUGGUCGAGUCGGCCUGCGCGGAAGAUGUAACGGGGCUAAACCAUGCACCGAAGCUGCGGCAGCGACACUAUGUGUUGUUGGGUAGGGGAGCGUUCUGUAAGCCGUUGAAGGUGUGCUGUGAGGCAUGCUGGAGGUAUCAGAAGUGCGAAUGCUGACAUAAGUAACGAUAAAGCGGGUGAAAAGCCCGCUCGCCGGAAGACCAAGGGUUCCUGUCCAACGUUAAUCGGGGCAGGGUGAGUCGACCCCUAAGGCGAGGCCGAAAGGCGUAGUCGAUGGGAAACAGGUUAAUAUUCCUGUACUUGGUGUUACUGCGAAGGGGGGACGGAGAAGGCUAUGUCAGCCGGGCGACGGUUGUCCCGGUUUAAGCAUGUAGGCGGAGGUUCCAGGUAAAUCCGGUACCUUAUUAACGCUGAGGUGUGAUGACGAGGCACUACGGUGCUGAAGUGAUAAAUGCCCUGCUUCCGGGAAAAGCCUCUAAGCAUCAGGUAACACGAAAUCGUACCCCAAACCGACACAGGUGGUCAGGUAGAGAAUACCAAGGCGCUUGAGAGAACUCGGGUGAAGGAACUAGGCAAAAUGGUGCCGUAACUUCGGGAGAAGGCACGCUGAUGUGUAGGUGAAGCCCCUGCGGGCGGAGCUGAAAUCAGUCGAAGAUACCAGCUGGCUGCAACUGUUUAUUAAAAACACAGCACUGUGCAAACACGAAAGUGGACGUAUACGGUGUGACGCCUGCCCGGUGCCGGAAGGUUAAUUGAUGGGGUUAGCGGCAACGCGAAGCUCUUGAUCGAAGCCCCGGUAAACGGCGGCCGUAACUAUAACGGUCCUAAGGUAGCGAAAUUCCUUGUCGGGUAAGUUCCGACCUGCACGAAUGGCGUAAUGAUGGCCAGGCUGUCUCCACCCGAGACUCAGUGAAAUUGAACUCGCUGUGAAGAUGCAGUGUACCCGCGGCAAGACGGAAAGACCCCGUGAACCUUUACUAUAGCUUGACACUGAACACUGGUCCUUGAUGUGUAGGAUAGGUGGGAGGCUUUGAAGCGUGGACGCCAGUCUGCGUGGAGCCAACCUUGAAAUACCACCCUUUAAUGGCUGGUGUUCUAACGUAGACCCGUAAUCCGGGUUGCGGACAGUGUCUGGUGGGUAGUUUGACUGGGGCGGUCUCCUCCCAAAGAGUAACGGAGGAGCACGAAGGUUGGCUAAUCCUGGUCGGACAUCAGGAGGUUAGUGCAAUGGCAUAAGCCAGCUUGACUGCGAGCGUGACGGCGCGAGCAGGUGCGAAAGCAGGUCAUAGUGAUCCGGUGGUUCUGAAUGGAAGGGCCAUCGCUCAACGGAUAAAAGGUACUCCGGGGAUAACAGGCUGAUACCGCCCAAGAGUUCAUAUCGACGGCGGUGUUUGGCACCUCGAUGUCGGCUCAUCACAUCCUGGGGCUGAAGUAGGUCCCAAGGGUAUGGCUGUUCGCCAUUUAAAGUGGUACGCGAGCUGGGUUUAGAACGUCGUGAGACAGUUCGGUCCCUAUCUGCCGUGGGCGCUGGAGAAUUGAGGGGGGCUGCUCCUAGUACGAGAGGACCGGAGUGGACGCAUCACUGGUGUUCGGGUUGUCAUGCCAAUGGCACUGCCCGGUAGCUAAAUGCGGAAGAGAUAAGUGCUGAAAGCAUCUAAGCACGAAACUUGCCCCGAGAUGAGUUCUCCCUGAGACUUUAAGUCUCCUGAAGGAACGUUGAAGACGACGACGUUGAUAGGUCGGGUGUGUAAGCGCAGCGAUGCGUUGAGCUAACCGAUACUAAUGAACCGUGAGGCUUAACCUUACAACGCCGAAGGUGUUUC